GGGCAGACUGUGCUGCUUAUCAAUUAUUUUCUCUCAGCUCCAAAGUCAUUCUGUUUGCCUGCUUGUAAUGAUGGAGCUGGGCCCUGUAAAUAUUUCUCCUGAGCCUUUUCAGUAGAGGACACUGGAGGGACACUGGAGGAUCCAGAGGGAGUAUCACCAGUAAGGCAUCUCUGUGACUCUUCCACCAUCAGGGAGCCAGUGCUCUGCCAUCUCCAUUAAGAUCUCUGGAUCUCAGCCCUCAAGAAGGGAUGGUUCUUCCUUGGGCCUUCAUCUCAGCCUUAGGGGUGGUGGUUGCCCCUUAUAUCUACCACUCCUGUGUUCUUCAGCAUUCUUGUUAACUCUUACUAGCCAAUUCCCUGUUACUCCAGUCCUCUCUUAAUGAUAGAUAAAACUUUCCUUGUUCAAAUCA